rnacentral:rRNA from 1 species
GUGGGGAAUAUUGGGCAAUGGGCGAAAGCCUGACCCAGCAACGCCGCGUGAAGGAAGAAGGUUUUCGGAUUGUAAACUUCUGUCCUCAGGGAAGAAGAAAGUGACGGUACCUGAGGAGGAAGCCCCGGCUAACUACGUGCCAGCAGCCGCGGUAAUACGUAGGGGGCGAGCGUUGUCCGGAAUGACUGGGCGUAAAGGGCGCGUAGACGGCUGUCUAAGUCUGGAGUGAAAGUCCUGCUUUCAAGGUGGGAAUUGCUUUGGAGACUGGAUGGCUUGGGUGCGGAAGAGGUAAGUGGAAUUCCCAGUGUAGCGGUGAAAUGCGUAGAGAUUGGGAGGAACACCAGUGGCGAAGGCGACUUACUGGGCCGUAACUGACGUUGAUGCGCGAAAGCGUGGGGAGCGAACAGGAUUAGAUACCCUGGUAGUCC